rnacentral:pre_miRNA from 2 species
UCUGGAUGGUACAGUGCUGCAGCUGGUGUUGUGAAUCAGGCCGUCACCGAUCAGAGAACGGCUACUUCACAACACCAGGGUUGCACCCUACCACAGUCAA